AACGGGGGUGCCCAACCAAUCGGGCUGAGAUCACACCCAAUUAACCUGAUCCAGAUAAUGCUGGCGUAGGGAAAAUUAA
rnacentral:ncRNA from 1 species